rnacentral:rRNA from 1 species
UGCAGAAUCCCGCGAACCAUCGAGUUUUUGAACGCAAGUUGCGCCCGAGGCCUUCUGGCCGAGGGCACGCCUGCCUGGGCGUCACGCCAAAAGACGCUCCCCAAACCCCCAUCCGUGGGCGGAGGGACGCGGCGUUUGGCCCCCCGUGCCGCAGGGCGCGGUGGGCCGAAGUUGGGGCUGCCGGCGUACCGUGCCGGGCACAGCACUUGGUGGGCGACACGAGUUGUUCUCGGUGCAGCGCCCCGGCACGCAGCCGGCGCAGCGGCCCUAAGGACCCAACCGACCGCAAGCGCUCGGCGCUCGGACCGCGACCCCAGGUCAGGCGGGACUACCCGCUGAGUUUAAGCAUAUAAAUAAGCGGAGGAGAAGAAACUUACAAGGAUUCCCCUAGUAACGGCGAGCGAACCGGGAGCAGCCCAGCUUGAGAAUCGGGCGGCCUCGCCGCCCGA